rnacentral:tRNA from 1 species
GGGCUCGUGGCGGAAUUGGCAGACGCGCCAGGUUGAGGGCCUGGUGAGGGUUAAACCUCGUGCUGGUUCGAAUCCAGUCGGGCCCA